UCGUAGGUGACUGCGGAAGGUCAU
rnacentral:rRNA from 1 species